CAGCCGCCACGGUAAUACGAAGGGGGCAAGCGUUGCUCGGAAUGACUGGGCGUAAAGGGCGCGUAGGUGGUGUGGACAGUCAGAUGCGAAAUUCCUGGGCUCAACCUGGGGGCUGCAUUUGAUACGUCCAAACUAGAGUGUGGAAGAGGGUCGUGGAAUUUCCAGUGUAGAGGUGAAAUUCGUAGAUAUUGGGAAGAACACCGGUGGCGAAGGCGGCGACCUGGUCCAUUACUGACGCUGAGGCGCGAAAGCGUGGGGAGCAAACAGGAUUAGAUACCCGCGUAGUCCCUGUCUCUUAUAC
rnacentral:rRNA from 1 species